rnacentral:rRNA from 1 species
GGUCAAGCUACAAAGGGCGCAUGGUGAAUGCCUUGGCAUCAGGAGCCGAUGAAGGACGUGAUAAGCUGCGAUAAGCUUCGGGUAGGCGCACAUAGCCUGAGAUCCGAAGAUCUCCGAAUGAGGAAACUCACAUGGGAAACCCCAUGUAUCAUUAAGUGAAUACAUAGCUUAAUGAAGGUAACCCAGGGAACUGAAACAUCUAAGUACCUGGAGGAAGAGAAAGAAAAAUCGAUUUUCUUAGUAGCGGCGAGCGAAAGGGAAAGAGCCCAAACCGGAAACUUGUUUCCGGGGUUGUGGACAUAACAUAAAAGUGGAGGCUAUUGUAACUGAAGAGAACUGGAAAGUUCCACCGUAGAAGGUAAUAGUCCUGUAAGUGAAACGAGAAGACCACGAGUUAUGAUCCAGAGUACCACGAGACACGUGAAACCUUGUGGGAAGCAGGGAGGACCACCUCCCAAGGCUAAAUAC